rnacentral:rRNA from 1 species
CCUACGGGAGGCAGCAGUGGGGAAUAUUGCGCAAUGGGGGCAACCCUGACGCAGCCAUGCCGCGUGAAUGAAGAAGGCCUUCGGGUUGUAAAGUUCUUUCGGUAGCGAGGAAGGCAUUUAGUUUAAUAAACUAAGUGAUUGACGUUAACUACAGAAGAAGCACCGGCUAACUCCGUGCCAGCAGCCGCGGUAAUACGGAGGGUGCGAGCGUUAAUCGGAAUAACUGGGCGUAAAGGGCACGCAGGCGGUGACUUAAGUGAGGUGUGAAAGCCCCGGGCUUAACCUGGGAAUUGCAUUUCAUACUGGGUCGCUAGAGUACUUUAGGGAGGGGUAGAAUUCCACGUGUAGCGGUGAAAUGCGUAGAGAUGUGGAGGAAUACCGAAGGCGAAGGCAGCCCCUUGGGAAUGUACUGACGCUCAUGUGCGAAAGCGUGGGGAGCGAACAGGAUUAGAUACCCUAGUAGUC